rnacentral:rRNA from 1 species
ACAAGUUACCGUGAGGGAAAGUUGCAAAGCACUUUGAAGAGAGAGUUAAAGAGGACGUGAAACCGAUGAGAUGGAAACGGACAGAGCUGGCGUAUCUGGUCUGCAUUCAUCCGUGUGUUCUUGGGCGUUUGGAUUGCCACUCUCCAGACUGGGAUGGUGUUCAUUCUGUUCAGGGGCUCAUGGAGCAUUUGCAGGCGGAGUGCGCUGAGAUGCUCGGAGCAGCUGCAUGAGCUUGGCUUUGAGGCCAGCCCUUCGGGGUCUGGUACCCGGGCUGUGGGAGUGCUGUUUGUUCUGGGUGCUGAGUGUGUGCAAUGGCAACGGGUCCGUGUUGGUUUGAGCUGGCGGUCGGUGGCGGUCGCGUGCGACACGUGCCAGCAGUCAGUUCGGUCCUGCUCGGGCUCUCAUUGCAUGUUCUCGGUGUAAAAGCCGGUCAUCUGUCCGACCCGUCUUGAAACACGGACCAAGGAGUUUAGCGUGUGCGCGAGUCAUUGGGAGUUGAAAACCCAAGGGCGUAAUGAAAGUGAAGGUCUCCUUGCGGAGCUGAUGUGUGAUCUCGUGCACCCCGGUGUGCGGGCGCAACAUAGUCCCGUCCCGAUCGCAUGCGAUGGGGCGGAGACAGAGCGUACGCGCUGAGACCCGAAAGAUGGUGAACUAUUCCUGAGCAGGAUGAAGCCAGAGGAAACUCUGGUGGAAGUCCGAAGCGAUUCUGACGUGCAAAUCGAUCGUCUGACUUGGGUAUAGGGGCGAAAGACUAAUCGAACCAUCUAGUAGCUGGUUCCUUCCGA